rnacentral:misc_RNA from 1 species
GAUUUAUUUAUGCAAAUCUUAUAUUUGCUUUUGCAUUUGGUAAUCUGUGAACUUACAAUUUUCUCAUCGAUAGCGAUUCGUAUCUAGAAUUCGCUCAUUGGAAACGCGUGAAGACUUUGUUUUGGUGCUUUGGGCACCUCAAAAUUCAAUCAUUCUUCCAGCUUCCUUUUGGAUUUUGGUCUCCAAGAAGCUAUUUGACACCAUAACUUGCAUUAUUUUUUGCCCUUCUUAGGGAUCUACACUCCUACUG